UUUCACUGUCAUAUAUUUUUCAGGAUUCAUCACCCGAUGAACCUCAGAAAUAUCAGAUUAAAUCAGCUGGCGCAUUGGCUGCAGAAGAGAAAAACACAUCGGAUGAUGAACACGAGG